AGCUUUGCGCAGUGGCAGUAUCGUAGCCAAUGAGGUUUAUCCGAGGCGCGAUUAUUGCUAAUUGAAAAGCCCACUUCAAUCACUCUCUAUUUGACAUCCUCCUGUUUUACCUCAUUUUUGUCACUUAUCAGUAUGUGGAAUAA
rnacentral:snRNA from 1 species